AGAUUAUCCGCACGCCUCUGGCGGCGAAAUUUAGAAACUCUCUAAGAACGACACUUUGUUUGUUUAUUUGUUGAGGUUAUGUUAGAUUAUUCAGAUGGAUCACGAUUAUUUAAAGAAACCUGUUGCUAAUAAAAGCAGAAAUACGAAAUAUUGUUGCGUUCCUCAAUGUAGUACUUACGGAGAUACGGGAAUAAGUUUUCAUUUAUUCCCAAAAGACAAAAUAAUGAAGAAAAAAUGGAAGACUGCUUUAAGAAUAGGCAAGCCAAUUUCACCAUCAAUGAGAGUUUGUUCUCAUCAUUUUCAAACUUCAAACUUUUUUCCGGGCAAUUCUAAAAGGCAGAAGUUGUUUCCUUAUGCCGUACCGUCUCAGAAUAUUCCUAAAAUAAGCUCUGAUAAAGAAGUACCAUUAGUGCAAAUAAAAAAAACAAUUGCUCGAGAAAAUAGGGCUGUUAUUAGACACAGGAAAAUAGUGGAAUCAAAUAAAGAGGUUGGACUUGCUAUGGAGAAUGAAAAAACUAAAUUUGAGGAUAAUAAUAUAACUGAUAACAACAGUCAUCAUCAUGUCAAGACUUCAUCGACACAAGUCAAUUUAGUGGAUUACAGAAAUUAUCGUCCCCGAGAAGAUUGGAGUUUAGCUGACAUUCUUUGUGACAAAGAACCUUUGGAAAAGUGCACUCAAAUAAAUUUUCUUCCUAUGUGGGAAGAGGAUAGAUCAGCUUUAAAGCAAUUAACCCUCUCAGAUUUACUUAGUAGUGAUAUGUAUUUAUUUACUUUUACGGGUAUUCAUUCAAUAGAACUUUUAGAAACAUUGGUGACUUGUGUUAGUGAAUUGGCCUUAGAUGCUCCAACAAAUAAGAAAAUGUUAUCUGUAAGAGACAGAGUUAUUUU